rnacentral:rRNA from 1 species
AAUGAUCAGCCACACUGGAACUGAGACACGGUCCAGACUCCUACGGGAGGCAGCAGUGGGGAAUAUUGCGCAAAUGGGGGAAACCCUGACGCAGCAACGCCGCGUGUGUGAUGAAGGCCUUCGGUCGUAAAGACACUGUGAGGUGGAACGAGCCGCCGGGGUUAAGUACCCUUCGGCCCGACGGUACCACCAGAGGAAGCACCGGCUAACCCUACGUGCCAGCAGCCGCGGUAAUACAGGGGUGCAAGCGUUGUUCGGAAUUAUUGGGCGUAAAGCGCGUGUAGGCGGGCCACUAAGUCUGGUGUGAAAUCCCUCGGCUUAACCGAGGACGUGCAUUGGAUACUGGUGGCCUUGAGUCCUGGAGAGGGGUAGCGGAAUUCCCAGUGUAGAGGUGAAAAUUCGUAGAUAUUGGGAGGAACACCGGUGGCGAAGGCGGCUACCUGGACAGUGACUGACGCUGAGACGCGAAAGCAU